UAGUCUGCAACCCGACUACACGAAGCUGGAAUCGCUAGUAAUCGCGGAUCAGAAUGUCGCGGUGAAUACGUUCCCGGGUCUUGUACACACCGCCCGUCAAGCCAUGGGAGCCGGGAGUGCCUGAAGUGCGUGACCGUAAAAGGAGCGCCCUAGGGCAAGACCGGUGACUGGGGCUAAGUCGUAACAAGGUACC
rnacentral:rRNA from 1 species